CACUAUACUCCCACCAUCUUCUCCCUUUCCACUAUCACCUCCCCACCAUCUGUCCUUUCCUUCCUUGGCUACCUUCCCAUUGCUGCCCCUUUGUACCAUCGGUCCUCCAUCAUAGCCCCACCUCUCAUCAAAUUGUAGCCCUUCCCCCUUCCCACCACCAUCUGAUCCUCCCCCAUCUAGUGUGGAUGAGGAGGGCCUUUGGCCCUUAUGCCUCCUGGGUCCUUGCUUUUGUUGGGUACCUCUUUCAUUUUGCUAACCCUAGUCUAUGUCUACUUCUAUCACAAGCGAUGG
rnacentral:lncRNA from 1 species